rnacentral:rRNA from 1 species
AUGAACGCUGGCGGCGUGCCUAAUACAUGCAAGUCGAGCGAACAGACGAGGAGCUUGCUCCUCUGACGUUAGCGGCGGACGGGUGAGUAACACGUGGAUAACCUACCUAUAAGACUGGGAUAACUUCGGGAAACCGGAGCUAAUACCGGAUAAUAUAUUGAACCGCAUGGUUCAAUAGUGAAAGACGGUUUUGCUGUCACUUAUAGAUGGAUCCGCGCCGCAUUAGCUAGUUGGUAAGGUAACGGCUUACCAAGGCAACGAUGCGUAGCCGACCUGAGAGGGUGAGCGGCCACACUGGAACUGAGACACGGUCCAGACUCCUACGGGAGGCAGCAGUAGGGAAUCUUCCGCAAAGGGCGAAAGCUUGACGGAGCAACGCCGCGUGAGUGAUGAAGGUCUUCGGAUCGUAAAACUCUGUUAUUAGGGAAGAACAAAUGUGUAAGUAACUAUGCACGUCUUGACGGUACCUAAUCAGAAAGCCACGGCUAACUACGUG